GUAUUUCUAUCAGAGCAAUAAUGACAUUUAUUCCAGCUCUGAAAUAAAGAAUGAAUGAGAGAUUGGAAUCAAUUGACAAAGAAAUGAUUUUUUUUCAUCAUGAUUUUUUUUUCCUCAUGCCUUCACCAAAUCAAAGUCUGACAUCUCAUCAUGCUAUAGAGAGAACCCUGCUUCCUCAAAACUGUUCUAGCAGGAGACCAGCUAGAAAGGCAUCAUAUAGGCCCAAUAAUGCCUAUACAUUAUGAUGAUGUUUUCUAUUAUAUUUCAACAACCUGUUGUGCAAAGCCUUUAGAAUGCUAAACUAAGAAUGCUCAGCCAAAAGUGAAACAAUCUUUGUCCUCAAGGAGAUUAUUUUUUUAGCCAAAACACAUAAAUCAGUUGUGAUUCAUAAAAUAAGAUUAGUAAGUUUAUAACCUUAAAAAAAAUAAUUCAAAAAAAUUCAGCUGAGAUGAAAAGAGAAUUGGGUGCUCUAGUAGCUUGUAGGAUAGAAUCUCAGAAUUGGAAGGCAGUUCAGAGGACUACUAAUUCAACCAAUAGUAUAUGGGUUCCCAUAAACUGAAAGGGAUCAGGGUUCUGAGAAGGAAGGAAGCCUUGGGAUUUUUAGUUGUACUGGGGGAAGUAUCUCUUCUAAAUCAAGUAAAAUCGAAGAGAGGUUGGCUGGAUAGUAAUGAAGGAGAGUAGGACAAAUGCUUGGGAGGAGCAGAUUGGUAAACUCUCCAUUAGAGAGAGACUGGGAAAGAAUUGCCUUUACAGAAGACGGGGAGUAUGUCUUUUCUUCUUUGUUAUUUGGUCAGGCUAGGAUUAGAGUUCCCACCCCCUUACCAAUGUACAGCUUCACUGAAAAAGUACACUAUUUAUCUACAUAACCAGCCAACCAGGUCACUCUUCAGAGUGCUCAACCUGAGACCCAGACAGCUAAGCAGAGUACAAGGGCAGGACAGUGUUCCCUUCACACAAGAAACAAAGGGGCCAGUUCCACAGCCAAGUGUCUUCACUCCAAGUCUGAGUGUCGGUCUUCCUUCCAGCUCCGAAUCAGUGUCUUCCAGUCCAACUCUGAGUGACUCUUCAUCCAGUCCAACUCUGAAUCUGAAGAUCUUCACUCCAAGCCCUAGUGACUGA
rnacentral:lncRNA from 1 species